UGGGGCAGAUCUGGGCUAGCAGGCCCCAGGGAGAACUCCAAUGGCAUCUGUGUCAGCAUGCCCACACCAGGCCACAACAAUGGCCGCCGCCAAUGUCCCAGUCCCUGGAGAGGUCUCACCUCUCACCAAGAUGCACUCAGGGCCUAUCAGAACUUCCAGUACUAUGUUGAACAGAAGUGGUGAAAGCAGACAUCAGUGCCUUGCUCCUGACCUUAGAGAUGCUGCCUGACAAUUCACUUGAGAUCCUGGGAGUUGAAAGAAUGUCCUACCUCUUUGCCAGUCCCUCAGUGAACCACUAGGCAGAUCAAAACAUCCAAAGCCAAUUUUUGGAGGUCAAGGUCUUAUUGCCUACCCUGGUAUUAGCAAGCCACACCAGGCCACUGUCCUACCAUUGCCUGUUGCUGAACUUGAGGAUGGGGGAUGGCAGCUGCUAUGCAAAACACCAAAAUUCACCAAAAUUUACCAGCCUCUUUCUUUAUCAAGCACUGUCCUGGAAGCUGUAAGAGUUUGGCUAGUAUCUGGAUUUCAGCAGAAGUUGAUUUUGACACUUCUUAUGGACUCAAUAGGUGUUUUAUUAGAAGAACUGAUUCUUGCAGCUUCCUAAUUCAUCAUCUUCCAGCAUCCACCUAAUAUUUUAUGGAAUUUGAAAUAUUGUAGCUAGAUGACACUUUAGAAAUUAUAUACUCAUAUCCUGUGUGCUGGGAGAGGUAGAUUGCAUUUUAAUAUUUUGAAAUAGAAAUCUUAAUAGGAACAAAAAUCUUUGCAUAAGAAAUUACAUUGAAAAGCUUUGCAGGCUGAGGGCUAGGACCAAGAUGGCAUGGAAUACAGGCAUACUUUGUUUUAUUGCACUUUGCUUUACUGCAAAUUGCAGAUAUAGUACUUUUUACACAUUGAAAGUUUGUGGCAAUCCUGCAUGGAACAAGUCUAUCGGUGCCAUUUUUCCAAUAGCAUUUGCUCACUUCCUGUCUCCAUCUCACAUUUUGGUAAUUCUCACAAUAUUUCAAACUCUUUUAUCAUUAUUAUAUUUGUUAUGGUGAUCUGUGAUCAGUGGCCUUUGAUGUUACUAUUGUAACUGUUUUGGGGUGCCAUGAAUGGUGCCCAUAAAAGACGAUAAACUUAAUCAAUAAAUGUUGUGUGUGUUCUGACUGCUCCAGCAACCGUUCCCCUAUCUCUCUUCCUCUUCUCAGGCCUCCCUAUUUCCUGAGAUACAACAAUAUUGAAAUUAGGCCAAUUAAUAACCCUACAAUGGCCUCUAAGUGUUCAAGUGAGAGGAAGAUUCACACAUCUCUCACUUUAAAUCAAAAGCUAGAAAUGAUUAAGCUUAGUGAGGAAGGCAUGUUGAAAGCUGAGACAGGCUGAAAGCUAGGCCUCUUGCACCAAACAAUUACUCAAGUCGUGAAUGCAAAGGAAAAGUUCUUGAAGGAAAUUUGAAGUGCUACUCCAGUGAACACACAAAUGACAAGAAAGCAAAACAGCUUAUUGCUGAUAUGGAGAAAGUUUUAGUGGUAUUGAUGGAAGAUGAAAAGAGCCACAACAUUCUUUUAAGCCAAAGCCUAAUCCAGAGCAAGGCCCUAACUCUCAAGAGGUGAGGAAUCUGUAGAAGAAAAGUUUGAAGCUAGCAGAGGUUGGUUUAUGACUUUUAAGGAAAGAAGCUGUCUCCAUAACAUAAAAGUGCAAGAUGAAACAGCAAGUGCUAAUGUACAAGUUGCAGCAAGUUAUCCAGAAGAUCUAGCUAAGAUAAUUAAUGAAGGUGGCUACACUAAGCAAUAGAUUUUCAAUGUAGAUGAAACAGCUUUAUAUCUGAAGAAGAUGCCAUCUAGGACUUUCAUAGCUAAAGAGGAGAAGUCAAUGCCUGGCUUCAAAGCUUCAAAGGACAGGCUGACUCUCUUGUUAGGGGCUAAUGCAGCUGGUGACUUUAAGUUGAAGCCAAUGCUCAUUUCCCAUUUUGAAAACCUUAGGGCCCUCAAAAAUUAUGCUAAAUCUACUCCGCCUGUGCUCUAUAAAUGGAACAACAAAGCCUGGAUGACAGAACAUCUGUUUACAACACAGUUUACUGAAUAUUUUAAGCCAACUGUUGGAAUCAACUUCUUCCAACCCUCAUAAAUGACUUUGAGGGGUUCAAGACUUCAAUAGAGGAAGUAACUGCAGAUGUGAUAGAAAUAGCAAUAGAAUUACAAGUCAAGCCUGAAAAUGUUACUGAAUUGCAGUGAUCCUAUGAUAAAAGUUUAACAAAUGAGGAGUUGGUUCUUAUGGAUGAACAAAGAAAAUGGUUUCUUAAGAUGGAUUCUACUCCUGGUGAAGAUAUUGUGAAGAUUGUUGGACAAUUGUUGGACAACAAAGGAUUUCAAAUAUUGUGUAAAUUGAGUUGAGCAAGCAGUGGCUGGGUUUGAGUGGAUUGACUCCGAUUUUGAAAGAAGUUCUACUGUGGGCAAAAUACUAUCAAACAGCAUUGCGUGCUACAGAGAAAUCAUCUAUGAAAGGAAGUGUCAAUCUAUGUGGCACACUUAAUUGCUCUCUUAUUUUAAGAAAUUGCCACAGUCACCCCAGGCUUCAGCAAUCACCAUCCUGGUCAGUCAGCAACCUUCAACAUCAAGGCAAGACCCUCCAUCAGCAAAAACAGUACGACUCUGAAGGCUCACAUGGUAGUUAACAUUUUUCAGCAGUAAAAUAUUUUUUAAUUAAGCUAUGUACAUUGUUUUUUUAGACAUAAUGCUAUUGCUUACUUAAUAACCUCAGUAGAGGGGCUGACCUGGUGGCACAAGCGGGUAAGUGCACGCGCUCCGCUGCGGCGGCCCGGGGUUCGCUGGUUCGGAUCCUGGGUGCGCACCGACGCACCACUUGUCAAACCAUGCUGUGGCAGCGUCCCAUAUAAAGUGGAGCAGGAUGGGCACAGAUGUUAGCCUAGGGCCAGUCUUCCUCAGCAAAAAGAGGAGGAUUGGCAGAUGUUAGCUCAGGGCCAUCCUCCUCACAAAAAAAAAUAAUAAAUAAAAAUAAAUAAAUAAAUAAAUAAAUAAAUAAAUAAAUAAAUAAAAAUAACCUCAGUAGAGUCCACACAUAACUUUUAUAUGCACUGGGAAACAAAAAAUUCAUGUGACGCUUUCUCAUGGUGGUCUGGAACCAAACAUGCAAUGUCUCCAAGGUGUGCUUGUAUCAAAAGGUUGGUAACACUGGAGGUAGAAAUAGUAUUUUUCAAAGGAAAUUUAUAGGAAUUUAGGGAUGUGGAACAGAUAAGAAUGAAUAUAAGAGGAUAGUAUGG